rnacentral:rRNA from 1 species
UACGGGGGGGGGCAAGCGUUGUUCGGAAUUACUGGGCGUAAAGGGCUCGUAGGUGGCCAACUAAGUCGGACGUGAAAUCCCUCGGCUUAACCGGGGAACUGCGUCUGAUACUGGAUGGCUAGAGUUUGGGAGAGGGAUGCGGAAUUCCAGGUGUAGCGGUGAAAUGCGUAGAUAUCUGGAGGAACACCGGUGGCGAAGGCGGCAUCCUGGACCAACACUGACGCUGAGGAGCGAAAGCCAGGGGAGCAAAGCGGG